rnacentral:rRNA from 1 species
AAAGCGCACGUAGGCGGCUUUGUAAGUAAGAGGUGAAAGCCCAGAGCUCAACUCUGGAAUUGCCUUUUAGACUGCAUCGCUUGAAUCAUGGAGAGGUCAGUGGAAUUCCGAGUGUAGAGGUGAAAUUCGUAGAUAUUCGGAAGAACACCAGUGGCGAAGGCGGCUGACUGGACAUGUAUUGACGCUGAGGUGCGAAAGCGUGGGGAGCAAACAGGAUUAGAUACCCGUGU